rnacentral:rRNA from 1 species
AUUGAACGCUGGCGGCAGGCCUAACACAUGCAAGUCGAGCGGAUGAAGGGAGCUUGCUUCUGGAUUCAGCGGCGGACGGGUGAGUACUGCCUAGGAAUCUGCCUGGAAGUGGGGGAUAACGUCCGGAAACGGGCGCUAAUACCGCAUACGACCUGCGGGAGAAAGUGGGGGAUCUUCGGACCUCUCGCUAUCAGAUGAGCCUAGGUCGGAUUAGCUAGUUGGUGGGGUAAAGGCCUACCAAGGCGACGAUCCGUAACUGGUCUGAGAGGAUGAUCCGUCACACUGGGACAGAGGCACGGGCCAGACUCCGACGGGGGGCAGCAGUGGGGAAUAUUGGACGAUGGGCGAGAGCCUGAUCCAGCAAUGCCGCGUGUGUGAAGAAGGUCUUCGGAUUGUAAAGCACUUUAAGUUGGGAGGAAGGGCAGUAAGUUAAUACCUUGCUGUUUUGACGGUACCAACAGAAUAAGCACCGGCUAACUUCGUG